rnacentral:rRNA from 1 species
UACGGGGGGUGCAAGCGUUGUCCGGAUUUAUUGGGUUUAAAGGGUGCGUAGGCGGCUUCUUAAGUCUGGGGUGAAAGCCCGUUGCUCAACAACGGAACUGCCCUGGAAACUGGGAGGCUUGAGUACAGACGAGGGCGGCGGAAUGGAUGCUGUAGCGGUGAAAUGCAUAGAUAGCAUCCAGAACCCCGAUUGCGAAGGCAGCUGCCUAGACUGUAACUGACGCUGAGGCACGAAAGCGUGGGGAGCGAACAGG